rnacentral:tRNA from 1 species
GGUCCCGUAGCUCAGCUGGUUAGAGCGUCGUACUAAUAAUUCUUUGAAUGAGAAUGAUUAAGUGAUGCGAAGGUCGCGAGUUCGAUCCUCUCCGGGACCA